rnacentral:rRNA from 1 species
UACGUAGGGCGCAAGCGUUGUCCGGAAUUAUUGGGCGUAAAGAGCUCGUAGGUGGUCUGUUGCGUCCGCUGUGAAAACCUAAGGCUUAACCUUGGGCCUGCAGUGGAUACGGGCAGACUAGAGGUAGGUAGGGGAGAAUGGAAUUCCCGGUGUAGCGGUGAAAUGCGCAGAUAUCGGGAGGAACACCGGUGGCGAAGGCGGUUCUCUGGGCUUUACCUGACACUGAGGAGCAAAGCGUGGGGAGCGAACAGG